rnacentral:lncRNA from 1 species
UUGCAAUUAAAUAUAUUUGGGCGAGAAUAAUACUAUGUUGGUGACCGUUGAAAGGUCCUCGUGGCCUUUAAAAGAAAUGAGAUAUAAAACUCCUUUCUCUUAUCUUUAAGCCUACCUUCGCCCAAUAAGAUCACCUGCAUUUCAUCAAGUAUCAUAUACUUUAUUAAUUUUUAUUAAUAAUAUUUUAUAUUAAUUAUUAUUUUUUAAUUUUUAAUUAAAUUAUAAUAAUUUUGAUAUGAUACCACCGUUGCAACGAAUAUUUUCUUAGCCAACGGGGACCACCC